rnacentral:rRNA from 1 species
AACGAACGCUGGCGGCAGGCUUAACACAUGCAAGUCGAACGCCCCGCAAGGGGAGUGGCAGACGGGUGAGCAACACGUGGGAACGUGCCCUUCGCUUCGGAAUAGCCCCGGGAAACUGGGAGUAAUACCGAAUACGCCGUAUUGGGAAAGAUUUAUCGCCAAAAGAUGAGUCCGCGUACGAUUAGCUAGUUGGUGGGGUAAUGGCCCACCAAGGCGACGAUCGUUAGCUGGUCUGAGAGGACGAUCAGCCACACUGGGACUGAGACACGGCCCAGACUCCUACGGGAGGCAGCAGUGGGGAAUAUUGGACAAUGGGGGCAACCCUGAUCCAGCCAUGCCGCGUGAGUGAUGAAGGCCUUCGGGUUGUAAAGCUCUUUUGGCGGGGACGAUGAUGACGGUACCCGCAGAAUAAGCCCCGGCUAACUUCGUGCCAGCCGCCGCCGUAACAC